CAUACAAAUUCAUCCAGACAAACAAGUGUAAAAAACCUUUUUUUUCCCAUUUCCCCCUUGAACUAUCCGUAAAUACCACCAUUCCACCAAACUCCCCUCUGUCUUCUACGACAAAUAAUCUUUUCAACCCAGUAACUUAUAAUUAAUUACAGAGAGAUUAGCAAACAUAUAAUGGUAAGAAUCAGUUGUCGUAGGUGCGGCACUCGUCGGUCUCCGGGUUGUCCUUGCAGUAGGCCUCGAGCGGGUCGGAGGUCUCCUUGAGCUUGUCGCGCGCGUGGCUCGCCGCCGCGCUCAGCUCCUCCACCUCGUCCCACGCCGCCGCGCACUCGCCGCUCGCCGUGUCCUCCGCGCACGCCUCCUUCGCCUUGUCGAUGCUCUCCGACAUCUUGUCCGAGAUGUCCGGCGGCGUCGCCGGCCCGCUCGCCCUCACCGCCGCGAACCCGCCGCGGCCAACACGGGGAAACACCACGCGUCCAGCUCCGGCGACCGGCCUAACGAGGGACGACGCCGCCGCCGCCGGGGUAGACAGGCCGACGUUGGUCAGCGUGGACGCCAUGGCUGGCUGUUGAUGCGGAUUUCUGCGUGUGAUGUGGGCGUUUGUAGCUGUUGCGACGAGGCGUUCGUUGCACGGAUUGAAGAGAUGGGGUUUAUAUAUAUAUAGCUCCGUGGGGUGGGGGAGAAGGGGAGAGAGGAUUCGACGACGUGCACUCGUUUCUUAUCGCCUCCUCAGCCAAUCGUCGUGUGCCACGUGGGCUGUAUUUUGAGAUAUUUCAUGCGAAAUGGGGACUUGGCAAAGGAGAUCUUUUUCUUUUCCCUUGGGUGAAUCUAAGGUGAGAGAAGCAGUUUUAAUUUGACCGUGAAAACAUGAGCAGAUGACUGUGGGUGUGUACAUGUAUGCAGAAGUUCAGGUUGGAUACGAAAUUGAUGUAGAGGUUCGUGUUGUGCCAGCAAAGAAUGGCUUGUAGGGAAGUGAACUCGGUCUAAGGCCAGAAAGAUCACUUUCGGUCUCGAAAAUAUCUGAGAUACUAUGGAAAAGUUUGGUGAAGAACGGACAAAAUGAAACGUCCUAGAUAUCUCAACUAUUUUGGUGGAACAGAGUUAUUUAGUGUACAGGUGCAGAGGUGCUCAAAUUAUUUGGUGAGUAGCAAAUUAUUUUUCAUUUUGCCCAAUAGGUGCGUAUGGUUCUUUCUUUGUAAAGUUUUUAGAUUGGGACUAAGCUAGCUCGGAUCAAGAGCGGAAUUGAGGUGGUAAGAGAAGUGGAAACCAGAUGGCCUUGAAGUUGUCCCCGCAACCUGGACUUCCUGAGUUCGGACCAACAAGACAAGCCUCUUGCAAGGCCCAGUUACAGCCGGAUUAGUCGCUUAUAGGCCCACAGUUGACUGGGCCUUAGGCCCAUGCUGCCACCCUGCCGAGAAUUUUUUUUAUUUUUACAUUUUUUGAUUAAAAUAUUUAAAAAUAAUUUUUCAUUCCGAAAAUUUACAAAUCUAGUCGUGCCUCACGUCCUCCUAGAGGGCUUUUUUCAAAUCACCCUUCCAGAGGGCGUUAGGGACCUAAAUACAAAUUUUCCAUCAUAGCUUGCUACCUCUAUGAUUUUACAAUUUAAAACUAUAUCAUAUAAAGCCAUAUGAAAUUAAAGUUUAUAUCAAAAUUGUAGAGCUGGAGAAGAUCUACAAGUUUGUAAUUAACAACUUUCAUUUAAGAUCGUUUAGAUGUCCAAAUAUUCGUUACAAAAUCUAAAACCUAUUUAAAAAAAUUCUCAGAACUACAUUUCAAACGACAUUGGAUGGAGAUAAACUUUAUAAAAAAGAUAUAGAUCUCGAUGAGAUCUACAACUUUGUAGUUUAUUACCUUUUCAUUUAAAAUUAUUUGGAGUGUCAAAUAAGCAUUAUUAGCUUUUAAGCAAUUAAAACUGGUGGAAAGGGUUCGAAUACAAAUAAAAAUUUUGCAUUUAGGUCCCUUAACGCCCUUUAGAAGGGCGAUUUAAAAAAACGCCCUCCUAAAGGAUGUUAGGCGUCUAGAUUUGUAAAUUUUCGAAAAAAAAUUUUGUAAUUUUUUAAUAAUAAAAAUGUAAAAAAAAUUCCCUGCCAAGUACAUAUGCCAAGAUGGAUUCCACUGUAGUUCUAAGUUCUAAGGGGCUGUUCAGAUUGUAGUUCUAAGUUCUAAGGGGCUGUUCAGAUUGAUGUCAUUUUCAAUCAUACAACUUUUUUGGUAAAGUUGCCAAAAAAAUAUCUAUGUUUAGUUUGUUGCCAAAUUUGAUAAAUACGUAAGAAAUCCUGCCAAAAUUUUGGCAAUAUUGUCAACUUGACAAAAUUUUGGUAUUGUCAAAUUUUGAUAAGGUUUAUUUUGGCUACAAUCUGAACAGGCCCUAAAAUAAAAUCUAUUAUAUUAUUAAAACAGCUUUGAAAAUAGUCACCACGUUCGCUGUGGGGGCUAGAAAUUCCCACAUUAAUCGAAGAAAAAGAAAAAAAGAAAAGGAGAGUCCAAGUAGAAAUACGAUUUAAAAAUAGCUGAAAUUCGGAAUUGAAAAUAAGCAAUAUUGAAAGAAGUUUCCAUAUAAGAACCCAAUACGAGAUUAAUCAAAAUUCAAAAAAAAAAUCCAAAAUUAGAAAAGGAAAGGAGAGUCCAAGUAGAAAUACGAUUUAAAAAUAGCUAAAAUUCGGAAUUAAAAAUAAGCAAUAUUGAAAGAAGUUUCCAUAUAAGAAACCAAUACAAGAUUAAUCAAAAUUCAAAAAAAAAUAAAAUAAAUCCAAAAUUAGAAAAGGAAAGGAGAGUCCAAGUAGAAAUACGAUUUAAAAAUAGCUAAAAUUCAGUAAAAAUAAAAUAAAAUCCAAAAUUAGAAAAUGAAAGGAGAGUCUAAGUAGGAAUACAAUUUAAAAAUAGCUGAAAUACGGAAUUAAAAAUAAGGAAUAUUAAAAAAAGAACCAUAUAAGAACCCAAUACGAGAUUAAUUAAAAUUCAGAAUAAAAAUAAAAAUAAAUCCGAAAUUAGAAAAAGAAAAUAAAAGAAGAGAUCAAGUAGGAAUUCAAUUUAAAAUUAGCUGAAAUUCGGAAUUAAAAAUAAGCAAUAUUGAAAGAAGAAUCCAUAUAGGAACCCAAUACGAGAUUAAUUAAAAUUUCGAAUAAAAAAUAAAAUAAUAUCUAAAAUUAGAAAAACUAAAAGAGAGUUCAAGUAGGAAUACAAUUUUGAAACAACUGAAAUUAAAAAUAAAAAAUAAAAACAUUAAAAGAACAUAAUACGGUAUUAACUAAUUUUUUUAAAAAAACAAAUUCUGAAAUUAGAAAAAAGAAAAAUAAGAUUUCAAUUAGCAAUACAAUUUAUAAAUAAAUAAAAAUUGUGAUAAAAAUAAAGACUAUUGAAAGAAAAUACCAUCUAAAACACAUGAUGAGAUAAAAUUAAGUAACGGGCCUAUAAAGGAGUAAAGUGGUGGCGGUUGAUACGAUAUAUAAAAAUUGUUAAUAAAACACUAAAUAGAAUCCUAAUGACGAUUAAAAGGAGGGACGUCAGGCAUGUCGUAAAGCAAACAAGUAAGGCGGUUGCCGGGACUUCUAGAAAGUAAAAAAGAAAAACCAUUGAUAAUCAUAUUUGAUUUUUAGAAUCUCAAUGACAAUAAAAAGGAGAAGCAGCGGGCGGGGUGCAUAAGAGUAUAGUUGCAGAGUCGCCGACGGUUGAUGGGACUUCUAUAAAAUAAAAAAUGAAUUCUAACGAUAGUUAUGUUUGAUUUUUAGAAUCACAGUAACAAUAAAGAGUAGGCAGCAGACGGGCUGUAGAGGGGCAUAGUGGCAUCGUUUGAUGGGACUUCUAAAAAUUAUAAAAAAUAAAACUACAAGUCCAAUUUUUAAAGGUUCAGAACUUUUAAAAAGUAAAAAAAAACAACGAUAAUCAUGUUCGAUUUUAAAAUCUCAAUGAUAAUAAAGAAGGGAGGCAGUGGGCGAGCCGUAGAGGAGUACAAUGGCAAAGCUGCUGACGGUUUGGCGGUACUUUUAGAAAGUAAAAAAUGAACCCAAAUGAUAAUUAUCUUUGAUUUUUAAAAUCUCAAUGACAAUAAAGAGAAGAGACAGUGGACAGGCCGUAGAGGAGUAUAAUAGCAAUAUUCGACGGGACAUCUAGAAAUUAUAAAAACGAAACCCAACGUGAAAUAAACUCUAAAAACUAUAAAAUCCAAUUUUUAAAGGUUCUAAGAAGAAUGAAUAGAAAUGAAUAGAAAUAGUGAUAGAUCGAGUAAGCAAAUAAAGAAGAAAUAAAGAAGGAGAUGACAUCAGGGGUAGCAACUGGUGUGACUUUUAAAAACUAUAUAAUAGAAACACGAGGAUGAUAAGGUUUGGUCUUUCAAAGUCUUAAGACAAUGAGAUAGCUAUUUAAUAAAUUUUAAGUAAAAUCAUACUAAAAGAAUAUAUGAUUUUGUUUGGGUACUAGCCGCGCUAUUGCGCGGGCCAACCAGCUAGUUAAAAAAAGAUGGAUUCUACUAUGGCCUGCGGCUUACUCUCUCGUCUUAAAAAAAUAAACACAUUCUAAUACUACAAAUCAGCGUAUACUCUUGUAUAUUACUUCCGUCCAAAAUAAACCAAUUUACAUAAGGAUGGGACAUAACCUAGGACAGCGAUCACAUUCUUUCUUCUUUUUUUCAGAGGGAGUAGAUUCGUAGGGAGUAUCAUGUUCAGUCGCAGACACGAGUGUGAUAUCGCAUUACCUGAUUAUCAUCAGUCAUCACCACCACUAACAACAACUGUAUAGACACGUUAUCUAUUUACUUUUCGUUAUAUACCAAUCUGAAAAAGAGGGCGAAAAAAACAGUACUAGCACCGUACCGUAGCAGCAGGACUGGACACGAGUCUUGCCAAACUCCGUGGAGAAUGAUCAGAACUCCACCACUAGAGAUGGCAACGGGGAAUUCCCCGUCGGAGGUUACACUACCAUACCCGCCUCCGUGGAGGAGAAUUUUCCCCAUCACCAUCACCGUGAAAUGCAACGGGGCAACAUCUUUCACCAUCACCGCCUCCGUGCGGGUAAUUUAUCCCCGUGGAGCCUCCAUCCCCGCGAGUCUCAUGUAUACAUUUCACAUAUCAAACAAUAAUUUUGAUACAAAUAUUAUCAGUUUAUCACUCAAAAUAGCAAUUCCAGCCAUGAUUUCAGCACAUGACAACAACAUAAUCAAAUGCACAUCAUCAGUCAUCACGUAUUCACUUACAACGGCAUUGCCGCAAGCCAGCAACAAGCAGUACAAUAAAUUUGUGCCCAGGCAACAAGCAGUACAAGCAGACGACAGCGGCGCUUCGACCUGCUGCGGCGGCGCCAAGACCUGCUGCGGUGGCGUCGGGACCUGCUGUGGCGGCGCUGGGACCUGGCGGCGUGGUGGCCCUGCGCGGGAGUGGCCGAGGGCGCGAGGGCGCGGCCGCGGCCGAGCUGCCGAGGGCGCGGGCGCGGUGAGCUGGCGACCCUGCGCGGGCACGGCGCCCGGCGAGAACGCGAGAUCGGGAGUCGGCACCGGCACGCCGACGGCGUGGGGGCUGGAGGCGGAAUGGAGAAAGGAUUGAAUGGUUAGGGUUACACAAUUGCUUUAUAUACUCUAUUUUUUGGGCCUAGUUUUUAUGGGCCAUAUGGGCCAAAUACACAGGAUGAUACUAUACACAUACUAUUAUAUCGGGCCUCCACGGAGAGCGGGGACGGGGGACG
rnacentral:lncRNA from 1 species